rnacentral:rRNA from 1 species
AGUGAACGCUGGCGGUAGGCCUAACACAUGCAAGUCGAACGGCAGCACAGUAAGAGCUUGCUCUUACGGGUGGCGAGUGGCGGACGGGUGAGGAAUACAUCGGAAUCUACUUUUUCGUGGGGGAUAACGUAGGGAAGCUUACGCUAAUACCGCAUACGACCUACGGGUGAAAGCAGGGGAUCUUCGGACCUUGCGCGAUUGAAUGAGCCGAUGUCGGAUUAGCUAGUUGGCGGGGUAACGGCCCACCAAGGCGCCGAUCCGUAGCUGGUCUGAGAGGAUGAUCAGCCACACUGGAACUGAGACACGGUCCAGACUCCUACGGGAGGCAGCAGUGGGGAAUAUUGGACAAAGGGCGCAAGCCUGAUCCAGCCAUACCGCGUGGGUGAAGAAGGCCUUCGGGUUGUAAAGCCCUUUUGUUGGGAAAGAAAGCAGCAGGUUAAUACCCCGCUGUUCUGACGGUACCCAAAGAAUAAGCACCGGCUAACUUCGUG